rnacentral:rRNA from 1 species
UAAGGUAGCGAAAUUCCUUGUCAGGUAAGUUCUGACCCGCACGAAAGGUGUAACGAUUUGAGCACUGUCUCGACAACACGCCCGGUGAAAUUGAAGAACCAGUGAAGAUACUGGUUACCCGCAACAGGACGGAAAGACCCCAUGGAGCUUUACUGCAGCUUAAUAUUGGGAUUCGGUAUUGUAUGUACAGGAUAGGAGGGAGACUAAGAAGCUAGCACGCCAGUGUUGGUGGAGUCGAUGGUGGGAUACCUCUCUUAUAAUACUGAAUUUCUAACCUACUUCCGUGAUCCGGAAGAGGGACAUUGUUAGGCGGGCAGUUUGACUGGGGCGGUCGCCUCCGAAAGAGUAACGGAGGCGCUCAAAGGUCUUCUCAGAAUGAUUGGAAACCAUUCAAAGAGUGUAAAGGCAAAAGAAGGCUUGACUGCGAGAGUGACAACUCGAGCAGGUACGAAAGUAGGACUUAGUGAUCCGGUGGUAACAAGUGGGAGUGCCAUCGCUUAACGGAUAAAAGCUACCCUGGGGAUAACAGGCUUAUCUCCCCCAAGAGUUCACAUCGACGGGGAGGUUUGGCACCUCGAUGUCGGCUCGUCGCAUCCUGGGGCUGUAGUCGGUCCCAAGGGUUGGGCUGUUCGCCCAUUAAAGCGGUACGCGAGCUGGGUUCAGAACGUCGUGAGACAGUUCGGUCCCUAUCCGUUGUGGGCGUAGGAAAUUUGAUAGGAGCUGUCCUUAGUACGAGAGGACCGGGAUGGACGAACCUCUGGUGAAUCUGUUGGUAACCAAUGCCACAGCAGAAUAGCCAAGUUUGGAACGGAUAAACGCUGAAGGCAUCUAAGCGUGAAGCCAACCUAAAGACUAGAUUUCCCAUGCGAAAGCAGUAAGACUCCUUGUAGACGACAAGGUUGAUAGGCCAGAGAUGUAAGCACAGUAAUGUGUUCAGUUGACUGGUACUAAUAAGUCGAGGGCUUGACCAA